CUUAUAUGCAGGCAGAUGCAUGGCGGAAAGCUUCGUUUUCACAACUGCGCCGAUUUUUAUAUCCAGAACGCCUAUCAGGUCGAAAAUGAGACAAGCCAUCUAAACUGAUAUUACGACCCAUUCAAGUUUACAGCGUCCAUCAAGAUACCGUCGCUUCAGGUAGAAAUGUAGACGUUCGCGCAUCCGUUGACCUCACUUUAAACCUACAGCAAAAGUUUCCAGAGUGCUAUGUUUACCUUUUCGAAGAGAAUUCUCGGACACAGAAAUGUUACAUGACCAAACGAAAUAUGUCAAAUUCCGCACACAGCUGUGAAAUUCUACCAAACCAGUCGAUGUACGGACGAUGACGUAACGGCGCUGGAUCCGGAUGUGACAUCAGUAUUUCGAUUAACAUGGCGAUAUGACAGGAGCAGGUGGAAAUGUUAAAUUUCUAUACGAAGCGGAUCCCUGUUUUUUGCUUCAGGGGUUGUGAUAUAAACCAGCGGUACGCAUCGCCCGGAU